GCCGAGAUGGUGGAAUGGUAUACACGGAUGUCUCAAACACAUCUGCCUUCGGGCUUGUGGGUUCGAAUCCCACUCUCGGCA
rnacentral:tRNA from 1 species